GGUUGCCAAAAUCCAUCAAAAACGGUAACAGUCAAGGAAGGACUCUCUGUUCGAUUGCCCAGAGGGAAUGUAACCCUGUCACCGCAGAUAUUAGACCCUGACUUCAAGAACUACGAGGGAAAGAAAAAAAGUUCUGUUGUUUAGAGCCACCCAGUUUGUGGGAGCUCCUCGAAGCAACCACAGAAAACUGAUACACCCAGCCAGACCUUGGAUCCUAUUCUUGCCUUGCUGACAGUCCUGAUCCUGUAUUCUCUGAUGGUCUAUCACAGCUAACAGAGGUGGUCCUACUGUCUCUGUCGCCCAGUCACAACUGUCGCCCAGUUCCUUUUGGGGGAUGAAGUGAUGUUCAAAGACAGCUGGUGAAGAUUUCAGGGACAGUUGAUGCUGGUGAAGAUAACUACAGAACCCCUUUGACUAUUCUCCAGCACCUCUGGAAUAUAAGAUGGUGGAGUAGGACCUGCACUCAACUUCUGCGAGAACUACAAAAUUACAGUUCGUUGCUGAACAACCUUCACCAGGAGAAUGUGGAUCCCACCAAAAAGAGAUAUGCCACGCCCAAGGACAAAGGAGAAACCCCAGCAAGAUGAUCUGUUUCUGUUCUCUAAAUAAGUUGAUUGCUAUCAUAUUUUAGAUUUACAAAUGAGAGCUGGGAGCUGCCUACCCCUUCAUUUUGCUGACAUCACUCUGAGGCAUCACGAAAUGUAUUCUUUAAAAGAUAUUUUUCAUCUCUCCCAGGACUACUUAGAAGCUCAUGGGUGAAGUUCUGUGACAAAUGAAGCCAUCUAGCACUACUUUAAGCCUUAGAGACUCUGGAGGCUUGAUGGUCAGAGGAGUGAAAACCUUACGUGUUCUCAACACCAGGUGGGGUAGCUUCUGGAAGAAAUAAGAAUUUAGCAGAGUCUGGAAGGUUAAGUAGGAUUCAGACAGAUGAUAGAGGAAGUGGGGAGCAUUCUGAUUUAGAUGAAGUGCUGUGUUGCCAAUAUACAUAGAAUUCUGUAGACUGACUAGUGUCCCUGGAGCAGAAAUUUAUUUAUGGGAAAACAAGUAAAAAAUUAAAUUAAUUUAAUGCAUGUAUAACCUGUGUUUCAGCAACAUGAUUUCAAAACUCCAGGCUUUUACAAAGGCUUUGUUUCACCAAUAUCUCCUGAGCUGGAGGAUAAAAUAGUAUCAAAUGGGAUUCAGGAAGUCGGAAAAGUUAUAGAGUAGAAUUUAUGUGAUUUAAUGAUUUUAUGCUUCUAUGAUUUCCCUUCUCCUGUAUAAUGACUAGUGCUGCUAUUAUCUUCAGUCUUAUUACAGUUUGUAUGCCA